UAUUUUCUGAGUUUUAAAAAACUUUUUAUUUAUCAAUUAAAAGAUAUACAAAUAUUUUUGAAAUAUAGCAAAUGUAAGGUAAGCAUAAAAAUACAGUAGAAAGUUAUCCAAACAGACAUACUAGUCUAGUACUGAUUCAACAAAACAUGCUGAAACUAUAUUAAUUUGACACUAUUCAAUUUGUACUUCAAACUAAACAAGGAUUACAGUGAUUACAUAAUGAUAUAAAAGGCAGUUCUCUAACAAAAACUAGUAUUUCUUAAUACAUAUUACACUAAACAAAGCACCUAACUACAUAAGGCAAAAACAUGAAACAAAGAAAAAUCACAGAUGCAUAAAUAUUACUGAAAACUUCAAAACACCUCCCUCAGUUAAAGAAGGUAGAAAAAUCUGGCAAUGGUACAGUUAAAAUCAGCAACAUCAUGCCUCAAGUGGAGCAUUAUACUGUAUGCAAACUCUGCAGAGUAAAUAGUCCUUUCAAAAUCAUGAGAAAUAUUCACCCAAUAGACCAUAUUCACAGCCACAAAAAAGACCUUAAUAUAUCCAAAGAAAUGGAAAUUCUGCAAAGUAAGCUCUCAAGCCAUAUUGGAGUAAAACUAAAAACCAACAUACUUAGAAUAUAAUAACUUUUUUCUCUCUUUUUUCCUAUUAUCUGUCUUUUAUUUCAUGCUUUAUAUAUGAAGUUUUUCAUAUAAAAGAAACCAUGUGAUGUUUAAACUGAUAUGUCUGAUUUACUUCACUUAACAUUAUGGUCAAGGUACAAGAUCCCAAUGAUGAAUGUAACUGUAUUUUACACCUAAAAUGUACCAAUAAAAAAAGAACAUUCGAUCCCCGGUACCAAAAAAAAAAAAAAAAAUGGGGCAGGAAUAUUUUGGGUUGGGGAUUUAGCUCAGUGGUUUCACCACCUGCUGCGCAAGCACAAGGACCCGAGUUCGACCCCCGGUACCAAAAAUAAAAAACAAAAACAAAAAAACAAAAAAGAACAGAACCAGAUCAUUUCACAGAUCUAAAUUCUACGAAUCCAAAGGAAUUCUAACAAAUUUUUAAGGAAUAGUUAGUUCAAAUACUAAUUAAAUUAUUCCAGACCAUAAUAUCAGAAAAAAAACAAUUUCAAAUUAUUUUUACAGUCUAUCAUAGCACUGUCUCCAUGAUCGCACAAAGAUAGCAUACAUAACGAAACUGUGAAGACCAAAACCAUAUUAACUGAAAGCAGACACAGUGGUUCAGGCAAGAGAAUCGAAAGUUUAAGUCCCACCUGAGAAACUUAGUGAGAACCUGUCUCUCAAUUUUAAAAAUUAAAAAGGGCUGGGAAUGUAGUUCAGUGGUAGACCAUCCCUGGAUUCAUCCUCCUGUACAUCCUCCUGUUUCCUCUAUAAAACCUAGCAACCUAAUGAAAGAAUAAAAUACCAUAACCAAGUAAGAUUUAUCCUAAGAAUUCAAGGAUAAUUCAAUACAUUAUUAGGGAAUAUAUUAAUAUAACUUAUAUUAAUAAAUCAAGAAAGUAAAACAAUUCACACAUGAUUUCUAUAAAUUCUAAAAAGACAUUUGAUAAAUAUAAUAUCUAUCAUUUGUUAAAACUCUUAGAGCCAAGUGCAGUAGCAUAUAAUUGUAGUUCUAGUUACUUGGGAUCCGAGGCAGGAGGACUGCUUGGGCCCAAGAAUUCAUGGCCAAUCUGAGCAACACAGCAAGAUGAUCUAAAACAAAACAAAACAAUACAAAACAAAAAGCAAAACAACAACAAUAAAAAACACUCCUAAAAAGACAGGAAUAGAUGAUCCUUCCUUAAUAGUGAAACAUUACAAGAAUCAUUAAAGCCGAAAAUAAGACUUUAAAAAGUCAAUAGCAAUCCAGCACCUGCCUCGCAAGUGCAAGGUCCCAAGUUCGAUCCCUGGUACCAAAAAAAUAAGAAAAAGUCAAUAGCAUCCCUAUAUAAACAACAAAU
rnacentral:lncRNA from 1 species